AACCAGAGUUUUACGCCGGCCAAUAACAUUAGGCCACGUGGACUUUUUAUUAAACCCCUCUCCAAACAGCCAAAACUCACGCCAUUCACCUCAGACAAAACAGAAGAAAACAGAGAAACCCCUAAGCUCUAAGCUCUGCUUCCUUCAUGCCGAACCUCCACCACCGCCACAGCCUGAUCGUCGGAGCAGAACGAAGAAAGAAAACCAACCCAGACAAAAGCUCACGCCUUCACCUUUGCUUCCUCUGCUUCCUUCACGCCGAACCUCCACCACCGCCACACAGAUCGCAAACCCACUAAACAGUACAGCUCGCUUAAACCCCAAAUUAGAACCAAAACGAGUUAGGCAAAAAUUUCUGGUUUCCUCUGCUUCCUCCCUCUUCCAUCCUCUACUUCAUCUUGCCCAAAUCUCCACCACACCACACACCGAAGCAUACCGCCACACAAGUCACCGGAUUUGUUGCUAGAGCUUGUAAACAUGCCGGAGCCACCGUGAGCAUGGUGUUGCGAUGCAAAGGCUGGUGUCUUGGAGAAGAUUGUCAAGGCAUCUCAGCUUGAGAUCAUUGAGCUGCAACAUUUUGUGGGUGAACUAAGGUGCCUUUUCGACAAGUUUACUUACUGUGGUUAUUGAAUUCUCCGCUGUCAACUUUAGCCUCUGGGACACAGCUGGUAUCAUUUAUUUGAUAGUUAUUAAAAUAUUUUUAGUUUCAAAUAUAAUUUACUCCUACUUGUAAUGUCAGUUUACUCUCUAUAUGUACCAAAGUGCAAAUAAGGAUGUACUUGGAGCUGUUUUAUGUAAUAAAGUUUAUUGAGUGGAGCUAUAUGUACCAAUGUACUUGGAGUUAUUUGAUAGCUGUUUCAUGUAAUAGAACAAGUUUGCCAAAUUGGGCAAGUUUAGUAUUGUAA